UGGUGGAGUGAUUUGUCUGGUUAAUUCCGAUAACGAACGAGACCUUAUCCUGUUAAAUAGUAAUGCAAAUGUAAAUUCGCAUGAACUUCUUAGAGGGACUUCGGAUGUUUAAUCCGAGGAAGUUUGAGGCAAUAACA
rnacentral:rRNA from 1 species